UACGAAGGGGGCUAGCGUUGUUCGGAAUCACUGGGCGUAAAGGGCGCGUAGGCGGCUUUAUAAGUCGGGGGUGAAAGCCUGUGGCUCAACCACAGAAUUGCCUUCGAUACUGUAGAGCUUGAGACCGGAAGAGGUAAGUGGAACUGCGAGUGUAGAGGUGAAAUUCGUAGAUAUUCGCAAGAACACCAGUGGCGAAGGCGGCUCACUGGCCCGGUACUGACGCUGAGGCACGAAAGCGUGGGGAGCAAACAGGG
rnacentral:rRNA from 1 species